rnacentral:misc_RNA from 1 species
UACUCAUGAGGCACAGCCUUGCGUUGGCUCUGGUCUUUGGGGAAACCAAGGACCGGGCCGAAACUUUUGUGGCGUCGUUCUCGAUCCGGCUAUGCGCAACAGCAGCAGACGGAGCGGCGAGCGACGGCCUGUGAACCCACAGA